rnacentral:rRNA from 1 species
AGUACGGCGGAACACGAGAAAUUCCGUCGGAAUCCGCGGGGACCAUCCCGCAAGGCUAAAUACUCCCUAGUGACCGAUAGUGAACCAGUACCGUGAGGGAAAGGUGAAAAGCACCCCGGAAGGGGAGUGAAAUAGAUCCUGAAACCGUGUGCCUACAACAAGUCAAAGCUCGUUAAUGAGUGAUGGCGUGCCUUUUGUAGAAUGAACCGGCGAGUUACGAUUGCAUGCGAGGUUAAGUCGAAGAGACGGAGCCGCAGCGAAAGCGAGUCUGAAUAGGGCGAAUGAGUAUGUAGUCGUAGACCCGAAACCAUGUGAUCUACCCAUGUCCAGGUUGAAGGUGCGGUAAAACGCACUGGAGGACCGAACCCACGUACGUUGAAAAGUGCGGGGAUGAGGUGUGGGUAGCGGAGAAAUUCCAAACGAACUUGGAGAUAGCUGGUUCUCUCCGAAAUAGCUUUAGGGCUAGCCUCGGAAUUGAGAAUGAUGGAGGUAGAGCACUGUUUGGACUAGGGGCCCAUCUCGGGUUACCGAAUUCAGAUAAACUCCGAAUGCCAUUCAUUUAUAUCCGGGAGUCAGACUGCGAGUGAUAAGAUCCGUAGUCGAAAGGGAAACAGCCCAGACCACCAGCUAAGGUCCCAAAAUAUAUGUUAAGUGGAAAAGGAUGUGGGGUUGCACAGACAACUAGGAUGUUGGCUUAGAAGCAGCCACCAUUUAAAGAGUGCGUAAUAGCUCACUAGUCGAGUGACCCUGCGCCGAAAAUGUACCGGGGCUAAACAUAUUACCGAAGCUGUGGACUACACCAUUAGGUGUAGUGGUAGGAGAGCGUUCUAAGGGCGUUGAAGGUCGAUCGUGAGGACGGCUGGAGCGCUUAGAAGUGAGAAUGCCGGUAUGAGUAGCGAAAGACAGGUGAGAAUCCUGUCCACCGUAUGACUAAGGUUUCCUGGGGAAGGCUCGUCCGCCCAGG